AUUGAACGCUGGCGGCAUGCCUUACACAUGCAAGUCGAACGGCAGCGGACCUUCGGGUGCCGGCGAGUGGCGAACGGGUGAGUAAUAUAUCGGAACGUACCUUUCAGUGGGGGAUAACGUAGCGAAAGUUACGCUAAUACCGCAUAUUCUGUGAGCAGGAAAGCAGGGGAUCGCAAGACCUUGCGCUGAUUGAGCGGCCGAUAUCAGAUUAGCUAGUUGGUGAGGUAAAGGCUCACCAAGGCGACGAUCUGCAGCGGGUCUGAGAGGAUGAUCCGCCACACUGGAACUGAGACACGGUCCAGACUCCUACGGGAGGCAGCAGUGGGGAAUUUUGGACAAUGGGCGCAAGCCUGAUCCAGCCAUGCCGCGUGAGUGAAGAAGGCCUCGGUUGU
rnacentral:rRNA from 1 species